rnacentral:misc_RNA from 1 species
AAGUCGUAACAAGGUUUCCGUAGGUGAACCUGCGGAAGGAUCAUUAACACGAAUUACACAUAUUCGUUUCCUUUCUUUAACCACUUUUUGUGUUGGCUUUGCUGUUGUCUUUGAUGACAUGUGAAGCUGAUUUUUUCAUUUGUGUCUUUGUGAUUUGUGAGAUGAGAGCAAUCUCGUUUCAUUUAUUCACAAAUUUACACCCUUUCUUAUUCAACACCUUUCAUACAAAAACAAUCACAACAAAAUCAUACAAAAGAGUAAAAAAAACAAAAACAACUCUUAGCAACGGAUAUCUUGGUUCUC